rnacentral:rRNA from 1 species
GACAGAGGGGGCAAGCGUUGCUCGGAAUUACUGGGCGUAAAGGGCGCGUAGGCGGGAUGGCAAGUCGGUCGUGAAAUCCUUCGGCUCAACCGAAGAACGUCGAUCGAUACUGCUGUUCUUGAGGGUUGCAGAGGAGACUGGAAUUCCCGGUGUAGCGGUGAAAUGUGUAGAGAUCGGGAGGAACACCGGUGGCGAAGGCGGGUCUCUGGGCAAUUCCUGACGCUGAGGCA